GAUGAACGCUAGCUACAGGCUUAACACAUGCAAGUCGCGGGGUAACAUCUGGUAGAGCUUGCUCUUCCAGGAUGACGACCGGCGCACGGGUGAGUAACGCGUAUCCAACCUGGCCCAUACCACGGGAUAGCCCGGUCGAAAGGCGGAUUAAUACCGUAUGCUGUCAUUAAGAUGCAUAUAUUGAUGACGAAAGGACUGGCGGUAUGGGAUGGGGAUGCGUCUGAUUAGCUUGUUGGCGGGGUAACGGCCCACCAAGGCGACGAUCAGUAGGGGUUCUGAGAGGAAGGUCCCCCCACAUUGGAACUGAGACACGGUCCAAACUCCUACGGGAGGCAGCAGUGAGGAAUAUUGGUCAAUGGGCGUAAGCCUGAACCAGCCAAGUAGCGUGAGGGAAG
rnacentral:rRNA from 1 species